rnacentral:lncRNA from 1 species
AUUCGUAUUUGACUUACAUUCUGGAAAACUGCACAGAGAAUUCCAUCAUGGACCUGACCCAACUGAUACAGCCCCAGGAGAGCCCAAGAUGUAGCAAGCAGUCCACCUGAGAGCUCCUUCCAGAAACUAGCACCCAGUGAAUAUAGGUAUACUCUAUUGAGGGAUCGAGAUGAGCUUUAAAAACUUGAAAAACAGUUUGUAAGCCUUUCAACAGCAGCAUCAACCUACGUGGUGGAAAUAGUAAACCUAUAUUUUCAUAAUUCUAUGUGUAUUUUUAUUUUGAAUAAACAGAAAGAAAUUUUGGGUUUUUAAUUUUUUUCUCCCCGACUCAAAAUGCAUUGUCAUUUAAUAUAGUAGCCUCUUAAAAAAAAAAAACCUGCUAGGAUUUAAAAAUAAAAAUCAGAGGCCUAUCUCCACUUUAAAUCUGUCCUGUAAAAGUUUUAUAAAUCAAAUGAAAGGUGACAUUGCCAGAAACUUACCAUUAACUUGCACUACUAGGGUAGGGAGGACUUAGGGAUGUUUCCUGUGUCGUAUGUGCUUUUCUUUCUUUCAUAUGAUCAAUUCUGUUGGUAUUUUCAGUAUCUCAUUUCUCAAAGCUAAAGAGAUAUACAUUCUGGAUACUUGGGAGGGGAAUAAAUUAAAGUUUUCACACU